GACGUAGGGGACGAGCGUUGUCCGGAUUCAUUGGGCGUAAAGCGCGCGUAGGCGGGGAGGUAAGUCGGGUGUGAAAUCCCUCGGCCCAACCGAGGAACUGCGCCCGAGACUGCUUCUCUUGAGUCCCGGAGAGGAAGGUGGAAUUCCCGGUGUAGCGGUGAAAUGUGUAGAGAUCGGGAGGAACACCGGUGGCGAAGGCGGCCUUCUGGACGGUACUGACGCUGAGACGCGAAAGCGUGGGGAGCGAACAGG
rnacentral:rRNA from 1 species